UGUUUACACGGGGUGGAAGAGCCACUUUCAAGUUCUCUGGAUGAGGUUGAUGAGAUCACUUCCUCCAGGGUUUGGGGUAAACAAAUUGGAUAAAGAAAACCCCUCUAAAAAUGCUGUCCUCUGACACCAUCUUCCAUAAUUUAGGAGUAGGUGGAAGGAGAUCAAAGAUUAAUGUAUUCCAAAAAUGUAAAUCCAAAUGUGUAGAACCCAGAAGUCAACGGAAGUCACUGUGUUGCUUAAGAUACAGAUAAGAUGGGCUUCUACCCGCCACGUCGUCAUUCCGUGUGAUAGAAGGAGUUUGUGCCUGCACCUGACUCUUUUUUCUACUAAAGUUCCCAGGAGGCCCUGUUUUUUUCAGUACCUGUACCAGUCAGCAUUCUCCAGAGAAAUAGAACCAAUAGGAUGGAUUUCUACACCAGUCGAUUUUUAAGUAUUUCUGCUCCCAGCUGUGGGCCACCCUGCAGGGACAGUGAAUCCACAAGCCAGUACCGCAUAGGGUACUGCCAGGAGACCAGGCAUGUGACCGAAGCUUGGCCAAGUAGACUCGCUACACCAGUGUUUUGGCCUUUCAGCAAGGAAAGAGGAAACGACUAGUGGCCCAACAGAAUAUAAUUCAAGUCACCAUCGCAAGCUACACAUACAACUUUGAAUUUUCUAAUAGCUACCAAACAAGGAUUCCAUACUCAAAGGAAAAAGUGUCUAAUAAGCUUAUGUCGGCUCAUAGGCCCAUCCCUUAAUCAAGAAAGGCAAGAGACUCUCUCCAGCAAGAUGUGAAAUACAUACCAAAUGCAAACUGCAGUGUGCAAACCUUCUGGCAGAGAUCACGUGGGCAGCAUCCAACAAAUAACCUCAUGAGUUAAAUAUUUGCACAACAGACUUUUUCAAGAACGUUCGGGGAGGACAGUUGUACCACCUGCUGCCAUUCCAGAGCGGCUCCUCACCCAGUUCGCAUUUCCCUUUCCCUGUCUGGCACACGGCAGCACCGAGCAACAUCCAAGGACACCAGCAUUCACCCCACGGAAGGUUCCGAUGGGCUUACUGUCCUCCUGGUUUCAGCAGUUGGUAAGCCCUCCCCUGUUGACUUUUUAUUAAUGAACUCAGAAAACUGGCUGCUACCAUUCAUUCAUUCACUCAGCCAUCCUCCAGAGAGGUCCAGAUCGCAAACAUUCUGAAAUGUUCAAAAGCUUCAGCAGUCUCACAUGCAUCGGAAGAAUCCUUGCCCCCUUACCUUGGGCAUGAGCCCCACGUUGCCGGCAAGCCUUUGU